CAGUAGCCGCGGGAAUACGAAGGGUGCAAGCGUUAAUCGGAAUUACUGGGCGUAAAGGGUGUGUAGGAGGUUGGAUAAGUCAGGUGUGAAAUCCCGCAGCUCAACUGCGGAACUGCAUUCGAUACUGUUCAACUAGAGGAUCGGAGGGGGAAGCGGAAUUCUUGGUGUAGCGGUGAAAUGCGUAGAUAUCAAGAGGAACACCGGUGGCGAAGGCGGCUUCCUGGAAGAUACCUGACUCUGAAACACGAAAGCCAGGGGAGCGAAUGGGAUUAGAUACCCCCGUAGUCCCUGUCUCUUAUAA
rnacentral:rRNA from 1 species